rnacentral:rRNA from 1 species
UACGAAGGGGGCUAGCGUUGCUCGGAAUCACUGGGCGUAAAGGGUGCGUAGGCGGGUCUUUAAGUCAGGGGUGAAAUCCUGAGGCUCAACCUCAGGCCUGCGCGGGAUACUGCUUGGCUAGAGUCCGGAAGAGGAGAGUGGAAUUCCUGGUGUAGCGGUGGAAUGCGCAGAUAUCAGGAGGAACAUCCAUGGCGAAGGCGGCUCUCUGGGACGGUACUGACGCUGAGACGCGAAAGCGUGGGGAGCGAACAGG